AUUGUUAAGAUUAUGUAGCCGCAUCACACUAAGAAAGGUGUGAGGGAUGUAAACCUAGAGUAUUCUGAAUGCUUAAAUGCUGUUCUCUCAACUUGCUUGAAACUUAGGCUCUGUUCACUAUGUUCAGAAUUCUGAGCCCACUUUUCUUAGAAAUGGAAGGAUUUUCACUUUUUGGGGGGGCGGGCAAUAUUAGCUUGAGCAAUGUAAUGCCGCCCCAAUGUGUGCUUUUCUGGAGCUUCUUACUUCUCCUUUGCAGAAAGAAGCUUUGAGCUUUGCUGGCAGAGCUCUAGUACCGGAUGGACACUGCACUUUCUUACCGACAUCCUUCCUUGGAUCGUGCCUUGACCUAGAAACUUUUACCCUUAAUUCAGCAGUUUCUUUGAUCCUUUAUUACCUAUGGCAAAGUGCAAAGGCUGCAGCACUCAGAGCCUGUUUUAAGUAUUUACUCUGGACCAGGACUGUUUCCUACAUAAGUUCCCUCAGUAUUUCGCGUUGUAUAUUAAUGCUAACUUUCUUGUGUAUUAUUUGUUUCACGGAAUGGAUGGUCUCGAUUCUCCUUUAUAGAUGAAAUGGUAAAAAAUCUGCCAUCCAGAUGAGGCAGGACAUGCCCUGUCUGCCGACAGCCUGGGCACUGGAAAUCAGAUCAUCUGCAGUACUGAUGCAGCGCUGAUGCAGCCUAGACUUGGUGACUCCCAUUGCCGUUCGCUGAGCCCAGGGUAAAGCUCUAGGUAGCGGUUGCAAUUCUUUGCACCCAGCACCGGACGCAGACUAGUCAUGCAGUAGCACUAAGAGCCUGAACAGCUCGGCAACCAACGUGACCUUUCUUAAAGCCGUCUCGUCUCCUUGCCUGGUGCUCCCUAUGAAAAGAUCUUGCGGGGUCCACUGGGUCACCGGAUGCUACAUCCGUCCACCUAAAUUCCUUUGAAGCAAAAGCUACAUGGAGAGGGCGGGGAAAGGCCCGGUGUGCCACGUGUGUGGGUGGCCUUGAAGGCCAGAAGAGGGCGUUGGAUCUACUGGUGCUAGACUUAGUGGCUUUGUGAGCCCCAGUGCUCACAAGUGAACCAGGUCCUCCGUAGGAGGAAAAAGUACUCUUUGACUGCUGAGCCAUCUCUCCAGCACCCAGGAAGUUCCUUAAGUGACUCAUUCCAUCCCUUGCCAUCGACAUCAUUCCUAAGAGAUGAAUUUUGGUGUUAUCUCCCCAUCUGACCUAGUCUCAACUAUGUUUUAGUUUAAGUUUUGAAGUAUAUAUAGUUUAACAAUCAUUUUAUAUUAUAUGCCAACUGCAUGACUAUAAAACACUUGAAUCCAGUAUUUAUAUCACUUUGUUGGUAUGUCUCUGGCACUGUUUUAAAAACAGAAAGAAACUUUGCCAAAUAACUUGAAUGCUUUUGUUAAUAUGCAUUAUUUCCUGCAUCUGUUAACCUUGAAG